UACGAAGGGGGCUAGCGUUGCUCGGAAUCACUGGGCGUAAAGCGCACGUAGGCGGCUUUUUAAGUCAGGGGUGAAAGCCCGGGGCUCAACUCCGGAACUGCCUUUAAGACUGCAUCGCUUGAAUCCGGGAGAGGUGAGUGGAAUUCCGAGUGUAGAGGUGAAAUUCGUAGAUAUUCGGAAGAACACCAGUGGCGAAGGCGGCUCACUGGACCGGUAUUGACGCUGAGGUGCGAAAGCGUGGGGAGCAAACAGG
rnacentral:rRNA from 1 species